ensembl:lncRNA
CAUCUGUGAUAGUGAAGAACAGGCACUGAACUGUGUGUGUGUAGUUGACAGGAUUGGGGCAUUUAAUUGUGAAUUUGUGUGACAGUGAGAUGAGAAUCAUACACAAAAGUCCUGGAAUGAACUAUGACCCUUCUAAGGCCUGACGUAACAUAUCUCCAUCCACCCAUGGAUUCUACUGGAGUAGACUACACAGUGCCAGCUGGUGGUGAUCCAUGGUAGUGGUACAACCAUCACAUGACUGGAAGCACUGUAAAUGUGAGAUGGAGUGACGGCCCAGUGUAAUGAUGGGUUCUGACAGCUAAGCAGAGGCACACAACCUUGGCUGAGAGCACCCUGUGUUGUGUAACCAGCCCAUUGUUACCACUCUGGACUGUCAGCGCCAUUAAGAUUCAUAGGAAUCUAAAACGAGCCAGCCAGCCCGGACCAUGGACAAUUGUCCAAGCAACAGGGCUGGCGAGACAGGAUGAGGGAUGGAAACAGAAAAACAUGUGCGAAGGAGGAAGGCUUUGAGCCACAAAGAAAGAGACAAAAGCUGAAGAUAUUGAAUCAUGUUUCUUUCUUUACAAAACAGAAAAAUACACGGUCACACAGACAAGGCCCUUAAAGCUGUUCCAUUUGAGCUCUGCUCAGUUCAGGCUCAGAGUCAUUCUGUGUAUGUUCCCUGUUUGCAGCAGAAUAUCACUGGAGGCGAGUGGAGGAACAGCCACCCCAGGGGAAAGAAUGGAGACGAGAAUGACAUGAUGAGAAGAGC